CUUGGGGCUGUUUAAACAUGCAAAUCACGUUCACUGGCCCUCACCUUCCAGACUUUUUCUUUGUUCCUCGGUGGCAGGUGUGAAGAAGAAAAAUGUGUGAAUUCUGUGGAUAUCUGGAAAGAAAGAAUUUCAGCAACAUUCCAAUGGAUCCCACGGAACUUCUCAAGUAGUUUGGGAAAAUGCAGCACUGAAAAUUAUACUUGCCCAGACAAGCCGGCACAGAACUGACUUUGCUGGAACGGGGGACGGGAAAGUGAAUACGUCGGCCAAAACCCAGGCAUUAAAAUUUCAAAAAAAGGUCCUGUGUUCUAUCGGUCGUGUCCAGAAUUCUUGGUCCACCUGGCCAAGGUUGCCAAGCAUGCAAGACCAGAGCCAGGAGAUGCAGACAGUGCUGGUGCAUAGUAAGUGCUCAAUAAACGUUUGGUGAGCGAGAGCGUGCAUGGUGGUUUUUCUUUGCAAAGUCAGACUUCAUGCCCCGAAGAGGAAACCCAUCCAGUGGGUGAGCAACCAGAGCGAGCUUGGGUUCUGACAUUACCCCCCAGUCUCCUUUUUUGGUGUAACGAGGAGUCAUUUUCGUUCCGGG
rnacentral:lncRNA from 12 species